CUCCUAGUACGAGAGGACCGGAGUGGACGCAUCACUGGUGUUCGGGUUGUCAUGCCAAUGGCACUGCCCGGUAGCUAAAUGCGGAAGAGAUAAGUGCUGAAAGCAUCUAAGCACGAAACUUGCCCCGAGAUGAGUUCUCCCUGAGACUUAGAGUCUCCUGAAGGAACGUUGAAGACGACGACGUUGAUAGGCCGGGUGUGUAAGCGCAGCGAUGCGUUGAGCUAACCGGUACUAAUGAACCGUGAGGCUUAACCUUAC
rnacentral:rRNA from 1 species